UUGGAGGGCAAGUCUGGUGCCAGCAGCCGCGGUAAUUCCAGCUCCAAUAGCGUAUAUUAAAGUUGUUGCAGUUAAAAAGCUCGUAGUUGAAUUUCGGGAUCAGAGUGUCGGUCGUGCCUCGGUACGCACUGGUAUAAUUGGUUCCUACCUUCUGAAGAACCGCGAUGUCAUUAAUUUGGUGUCGUGGGGAAUCAGGACUGUUACUUUGAAAAAAUUAGAGUGUUUAAAGCAGGCUUACGCUUGAAUACAUUAGCAUGGAAUAAUGAAAUAGGACGUUUGAUUCUAUUUUGUUGGUUUCUAGGAUUGACGUAAUGAUUAAUAGGGAUAGUUGGGGGCAUUAGUAUUCAAUUGUCAGAGGUGAAAUUCUUGGAUUUAUUGAAGACUAACUACUGCGAAAGCAUUUGCCAAGGAUGUUUUCAUUAGUCAAGAACGAAAGUUAGGGGAUCGAAGACGAUCAGAUACCGUCGUAGUCUUAACCAUAAACUAUGCCGACUAGGGAUCGGAUGAUGUUAAUUUUUUAAUGACUCAUUCGGCGCCUUACGGGAAACCAAAGUGUUUGGGUUC
rnacentral:rRNA from 1 species